ACUGCAACGAACUGUUUUAGCGGUAUUGCACGACGGACAUCCGGGCAUCGUGCGGAUGAAAACACUCGCACGGAGCUACGCCUGGUGGCCGGGAAUCGACAAAAGAAUCGAGGCCUGGGUCACUACUUGUCAACGUUGCCAAGACGUCAGCAACGCCCCACCUAAAGCAAGCCCAACCGAAUGGGAAACUCCGAGGGGACCAUGGUCCCGUAUUCAUAUUGAUUUUGCGGGGCUGACAAAAGGGCACACUUUCCUUAUUACAGUCGACGCCUAUUCAAAUUGGCUCGAGAUCCAUCGAAUGAACACAACUACAAUGGACUCAGUUAUCAACAAAUUAAACAGGUUAUUUGCCACACAUGGUUUUCCGGACGUUCUUGUCUCGGAUAAUGGCCCACAGUUCACAGCAUUACCAUUUGAACAAUAUCUUGCUGACCGGGGCAUCCGCCAUGCGCUAACCUUGCCCGCACACCCUGCGGCGAAUGGACGUGCAGAGUGUAUGGUACAAUUUGUAAAAAAGACCCUCCACAAAAUGGAAUUCGGAAACAUCGAUGAGAAAAUCGAUCGAAUUUUAUUGUUACAGCACAUCACGCCCCACAGCGUUACCAACAAAACGCCCGCCGAACUUCUUAUGGGGCGGAAACUACGAUCGCACCUCGACCGGCUCCAUCCCGCAUACGCACCCGAAAAACCUUUCGGCUCCAGCAGCAAAUGCCGGGAAUUUAAGGUAGGCGAUUUAAUCUUUGCCAAAAACUUCUCCGGCGACCCUUUAUGGAUACCUGCUACCGUUACCCACCUCACAGGGCCUAGAUCUUACCGCCUGCUAACAGACGAUGGGAGGGUGUGGAAACGCCACAUAGACCAACUCCGUUCGAGAAUACCACCCAGCACCCAUGGCUCCCCGGGUUCACCAACUGAGGGGGGAGGAAAUAUCGAGGAAAUUGACUUCGAUAUGACAGAUAGCAGACCAAUGGAAACCCUACGGCCCAGCGAAGUACCGGGAAUUGAAGCGGGGAGGGAGUUGACUUUUCCAUGGGACUUGAACACGGGGGAAACCGAACUGCGAAACCCCGAAGAAACACUGAUUGACGGAGACAACCACAACGAAAGCAGCACGGAAUCACCGUGCAGCGAAACGGAACUUAAUAAAGAUCAUCCAAGCGCUGCACCGGAACCAGACUUUAGGGCAACCCCGGUGGAGCCACGGAACUCAUCCAGACAGACCAAACGGCCUGUCUAUCUUGACGAUUUUGUUACAGCUCCCCUCAAACGGAACCCAAGGGGGAGGGGUGUUGUGAAUCAAUAAAAGUAACUAAGCCCAAAUGCAAAGCAGGUUUUGAAAGCCUGCACACUUGAUUGGUCCUUAAACAACGAACAAGGAUUGGCCACUUUUAGGAUACUUCUUAUUGGUUAAUAGGGUAGCAGCCAACCCUAUAAAAGGGUUACUGCUGCCC
rnacentral:lncRNA from 1 species